AUAAAAUAUUAUAGUUACUGUAUUACUAAGUUUAUAUAUUUUUAAAGAUUAUUUUGGAUUACAAAAGUUAAGAAACCAAAAACACCAUUUACGAAACUUGAAAUACGAUGCCUAAAAGUUGAUAUUUACCAUUUAGACUAACCCACGUUUACAUCUAAAACUGAUACUUUUUUGGGAUUUUUUUCUUCUAAAAUCUGAUUUCGUUAAGGACAACGAAGAGAAGGGAAAAAUAAAAAGAAGAUGGAAUCGCGAAUAACCAUGAGCUCUUUCAACAGAUACACAAAUUCCAAAUCCUACUCGGGCGCCUCCGAAUCCGUCCCCCUAAUUCCCAUUUCCUCUCUCAAUCCCUAGAUGACCUCUUUUUCAAAUCCGACGACAGAGACAACGAUGAAGACAGAGAUUUUCAGACCAACCUCGAAGAGACGAAGCCAGGCGGUGUAGAUAAGGAGAAGAAGGAAGAGAAAGAGCAGGAGGUGGAUAUUUUGGGUCUGAGAGGCUGAUUGAUGGUAGUUGUGCUGAUUGUGUCAGGGUUUCACAAGAACAUCAACAUCGGUUCCUCAAGGGCCUAAGUUCCUGGGAGCAGCUUGGCAGCGCCCGCAACUGAAUAUUUUUGAACGCGGGUUGCUCAUCGAAGUGUAUGGAGAUCGGGGAGUUGGAGAGUUAUGGUUUGUUCAUGUAACGCCAACCCAAUUAUCCCAGUUAUCGAGUAGAUUGAACCUUCCUUAGUAGGUGUCUAAAAGUGUUCAAUGGGUGGGGCGUUGACCAAGCUUUACCUGUUGGAAAAGAGAAACGUAAAAUCAAGAGCUUGGCAGGAGCAAUUUAUCAUAUGUUCUCCGGAGUUACCUGUUCAUCGAGGAUGAUCAUGUCCAUUCCCUGGAGCUCUCCUCCUUUCGUCACAUUAGGCGCCUCCCAGAACCUAAGCAGUAACACCUCCACAGUCUUAGUAGAACGACAAACUUUCAAAUCGAAGAGCAAUAGGUGAGAGGCUCCAUCGAUGGAAUCUGGGUUUUUAAGAGAAAGCUAUUGAUUCGGUGCGAGUGAUGAGUUUCAUCCUAGACUGCAAUGUUAUUUAUAGAAGGACUCCUCCGUUACUAUAGAGGAGUGAGAGGGCUAUUGAAUGUGAGGGAGUGGAGGAAGUGGGGAGAUGACGUAAAUGCGAUCAUUAUUGGGCGAUUGAAUGAUAGCCUAAGGCCGUCGGUGUUGUAUAAACCAAUGAUCGCAGCGGCUCCUUUUAGGUCAAUAAAUUGCAAAGGACGGCCCAAUGAUAUGUCGAUAUAGCACUUUAGGAUCGAAUCCACAAAGACCAAUGGUUACACUUUAUUUUUAUGGGAUCAAUAUCAAACUAAAACAAUAUGGGGGUUUUAAGA